AUUUGGCCCUGGAGAUCCAGCAGAGCUAACAGGACACUGGGAUCUAUCACCAGCUCUCUGGAAUUAGCAAUAAGAAGUCAAGUUGCCACAAAACAGCACAAGAAGCCUUACAUAAUGGAGAAAUUGUAUUCAUUUAUGGCAAUGGACAGCAGCCAGGGGCCAUAUUCAUCCUCUAGGAGUGGUGAUUUGGGAUCGGUUUUCCUUGGCUCAUAGCCUGGCCUUGACCAUUGAUUAGGGCAAAGAAGGCGAAAUGGGCUACAACUUGAUCCCAGAUCACCACUAGCCUACAGUUAUGAAUUUGGCCCAGGAGAUCCAGCAGAGCUAACAGGACACUGGGAUCUAUCACCAGCUCUCUGGAAUUAGCAAUAAGAAGUCGAGUUGCCACAAAACAGCACAAGAAGCCUUACAUAAUGGAGAAAUUGUAUUCAUUUAUGGCAAUGGACAGCAGCCAGGGGCCAUAUUCAUCCUCUAGGAGUGGUGAUUUGGGAUCGGUUUUCCUUGGC